rnacentral:rRNA from 1 species
GACAGAGGGGGCAAGCGUUGCUCGGAAUUACUGGGCGUAAAGGGCGCGUAGGCGGGAUGGCAAGUCGGUCGUGAAAUCCUUCGGCUCAACCGAAGAACGUCGAUCGAUACUGCUGUUCUUGAGGGUUGCAGAGGAGUCUGGAAUUCCCGGUGUAGCGGUGAAAUGUGUAGAGAUCGGGAGGAACACCGGUGGCGAAAGCGGCGCGCUGGACCACAACUGACGCUGAGGAACGAAAGCUAGGGGAGCAAACAGG